UAGUGGCGAACGGGUGAGUAACACGUGAGUAACCUGCCCUUGACUCUGGGAUAAGCCUGGGAAACUGGGUCUAAUACCGGAUACGACCAUUCCACGCAUGUGGUGGUGGUGGAAAGCUUUUGUGGUUUUGGAUGGACUCGCGGCCUAUCAGCUUGUUGGUGGGGUAAUGGCCUACCAAGGCGACGACGGGUAGCCGGCCUGAGAGGGUGACCGGCCACACUGGGACUGAGACACGGCCCAGACUCCUACGGGAGGCAGCAGUGGGGAAUAUUGCACAAUGGGCGCAAGCCUGAUGCAGCGACGCCGCGUGAGGGAUGACGGCCUUCGGGUUGUAAACCUCUUUCAGUAGGGAAGAAGCGUAAGUGACGGUACCUGCAGAAGAAGCGCCGGCUAACUACGUGCCAGCAGCCGCGGUAAUACGUAGGGCGCAAGCGUUAUCCGGAAUUAUUGGGCGUAAAGAGCUCGUAGGCGGUUUGUCGCGUCUGCUGUGAAAGACCGGGGCUCAACUCCGGUUCUGCAGUGGGUACGGGCAGACUAGAGUGCAGUAGGGGAGACUGGAAUUCCUGGUGUAGCGGUGAAAUGCGCAGAUAUCAGGAGGAACACCGAUGGCGAAGGCAGGUCUCUGGGCUGUAACUGACGCUGAGGAGCGAAAGCAUGGGGAGCGAACAGGAUUAGAUACCCUGGUAGUCCAUGCCGUAAACGUUGGGCACUAGGUGUGGGGGACAUUCCACGUUUUCCGCGCCGUAGCUAACGCAUUAAGUGCCCCGCCUGGGGAGUACGGCCGCAAGGCUAAAACUCAAAGGAAUUGACGGGGGCCCGCACAAGCGGCGGAGCAUGCGGAUUAAUUCGAUGCAACGCGAAGAACCUUACCAAGGCUUGACAUGAACCGGAAAGACCUGGAAACAGGUGCCCCGCUUGCGGUCGGUUUACAGGUGGUGCAUGGUUGUCGUCAGCUCGUGUCGUGAGAUGUUGGGUUAAGUCCCGCAACGAGCGCAACCCUCGUUCUAUGUUGCCAGCGCGUGAUGGCGGGGACUCAUAGGAGACUGCCGGGGUCAACUCGGAGGAAGGUGGGGACGACGUCAAAUCAUCAUGCCCCUUAUGUCUUGGGCUUCACGCAUGCUACAAUGGCCGGUACAAAGGGUUGCGAUACUGUGAGGUGGAGCUAAUCCCAAAAAGCCGGUCUCAGUUCGGAUUGGGGUCUGCAACUCGACCCCAUGAAGUCGGAGUCGCUAGUAAUC
rnacentral:rRNA from 1 species